CUACGGGAUGCUCCAGUGAGGAAUAUUGCACAAUGGGGGGAACCCUGAUGCAGCAACGCCGCGUGGAGGAUGACGCAUUUCGGUGUGUAAACUCCUUUUAUAUGUCAAGAAAAUGACGGUAGCAUAUGAAUAAGCACCGGCUAACUCCGUGCCAGCAGCCGCGGUAAUACGGAGGGUGCAAGCGUUACUCGGAAUCACUGGGCGUAAAGGACGCGUAGGCGGGUUGGAAAGUCAGGUGUGAAAUCCUACAGCUUAACUGUAGAACUGCACUUGAAACUUCUAAUCUAGAGUAUGGGAGGGGGAGAUGGAAUUAGUGGUGUAGGGGUAAAAUCCGUAGAUAUCACUAGGAAUACCUAAAGCGAAGGCGAUCUCCUGGAACAUUACUGACGCUAAGGCGUGAAAGCGUGGGGAGCAAACAGGAUUAGAUACCCGGGUACUC
rnacentral:rRNA from 1 species